UACGUAGGUGGCAAGCGUUGUCCGGAUUUACUGGGCGUAAAGAGCGCGCAGGCGGUCGGAUUAGUCGCGUGUGAAAGCCCCCGGCUCAACUGGGGAGGGUCACGCGAUACUGUUCGACUCGAAGGCAGGAGAGGGAAGUGGAAUUCCCGGUGUAGCGGUGAAAUGCGUAGAUAUCAGGAGGAACACCGGUGGUGUAGACGGCUUUCUGGACCGUAACUGACGCUGAGACACGAAAGCGUGGGUAGCAAACAGG
rnacentral:rRNA from 1 species